AUGUCACGCAAAGUCUGUUGCAUAUUAUGUCUUGAUGUUGCAUACAAUGGAUCAGGUCUCACUUGGAUGUUCUCACGAAUGCUACCUGCCUUUAUGUAUGAGCUGUCUGCUUCAAGCGGGGAGAUUGAUUGGGCUGAAAUGGUUUCAGUAGAGCUCUGGUUGUCUGGAGUGUUGCUAAGAGCAGACAAAUUGUCACACUCAAGCUGGGUAGAAAGAGGGGUGUAUGGAGAGUUGCUGAACUCUAACUUCAGUGGACUAGUUUGCCAGGAAGAGUUCGCUAAAUUGUUCUCUGUGGGAAUUUCGCAGAAGACGUUAGCACCAGUCAAUCUGUACUUGAAUAGCUGGUGCAAAUCCAUAAUAAAUGAGUGUCGAUUAGUUGUUCAUGACCUGUACAUAGCAAAAGAGAGGAAAUUAAUGAACUGUUUAUUCCAUGGUAGGUGA
rnacentral:rRNA from 1 species